AGGAUUAACGCUGGCGGCGUGCAUGAAACAUGCAAGUCGAGCGCGGUACGUGGCUUCGGUCACGUAUCUAGCGGCGCACGGGUGAGUAACACGUGAGCAACCUACCUUCGAGUUCGGGAUAGCCCUGGGAAACCAGGAUUAAUACCGGAUGUGGUCACAACGGGACAUCCCGAUGUGAAAAAGGCGCAAGCCGCUCGAUGACGGGCUCGCGGCCUAUUAGCUUGUUGGUGGGUAACGGCCUACCAAGGCGACGAUGGGUAGCUGGUCUGAGAGGACGAUCAGCCACACUGGGACUGAGACACGGCCCAGACUCCUACGGGAGGCAGCAGUUAGGAAUUUUCCGCAAUGGGCGAAAGCCUGACGGAGCAACGCCGCGUGUGUGAUGAAGGCCUUCGGGUUGUAAAGCACUGUCGGAGGGAAGAAUGAAUGACGGUACCUCCAAGAAAGCCCGGCUAACUACGUGCCAGCAGCCGC
rnacentral:rRNA from 1 species